UACGUAGGCACCAAGCGUUGUCCGGAUUUAUUGGGCGUAAAGAGCUCGUAGGCGGUUCGGUAAGUCGGGUGUGAAAACUCUGGGCUCAACCCAGAGCCGCCACCUGAUACUGCUGUGACUAGAGUGCGGUAGGGGAGCGGGGAAUUCCUGGUGUAGCGGUGGAAUGCGCAGAUAUCAGGAAGAACACCCGUGGCGAAGGCGGCUCUCUGGGACGGUACUGACGCUGAGACGCGAAAGCGUGGGGAGCGAACAGG
rnacentral:rRNA from 1 species